UAGUAAUAAUAAUAAACAUAGAUAUUGUUGCAGGUGCUAUUAACUCCUAACUAUGCCAUUGUUACAAUCUGCCCUGACCAAUAGUCACUGGCUGGGGUAUCAGCAGAGGUGGAGGAGUUGUGUGCCCAGAUAAUGGUUCUGUGGGAUUUCUCUAUCCAUAGGGGCGGCACAUUUGGGAAAGACGAACCAAUAAUAUCAUAGGACAUUCAUUUUCGUAUGAUAUUCAGUGCGUGUGUAUGGUGGGAUAUGAGCCGACCAUUAAUGGCAGAAGACUUGGAUAUUGAUCGGCUUGUCGAUCAGCCCAGGCGGAAAAUUUUAGAUCCUUUGAAGGCACCUGAGCAUCGGCCAUUGUUAGUGCUGAAUCAUCAGAUACAGAUUUCCCACUAAAGGAGCCAGAAGUAUCACAAACAAAAGAAGAGCUGGACUCUGAAGAUCAACUGAUUCCAAUGGGAAAGUCAACUGUUUCACUUACUGACAGGGGGGAGGAAACCGUCACUGCUGAGGAAAAACUGGAGAACACAGAGCUGCAAGAAGAUUUUCCUUGGAUGAACCCUCUUCUAACACAACAAAACAUUCAGCCAAGGGAAAAACCAUUUAAGUGCACAGAAUGUGGGAAAGGUUUCCUUCACAAUCGCUCACUUCUGUCUCACCAAGCAACAAUUCAUAAAGGGCUCAAACCUU